CAGGAGAAUUCCGAUGAAGACUACGAUUACGUCAUAGUGGGAGCGGGUAGUGCAGGCUGCGUAUUGGCUGCUCGCCUCUCUGACGUCAGCAGCAACAAGGUGCUUCUACUGGAGGCAGGAGGCGACCCGUCUGCAAAGAGGAACGCUGCAAAACCUGCCAUGCAUAUGCUGCUGAGAAACACGAAACAUGACUGGAACUUCAGGACUGUGCCACAGAAGAAAUCAUGUCGAGGUCUUAAUGAGAAGAGAAGCCUGUGGCCAAGAGGACGAAUGCUUGGAGGGUCAGGUGGUCUAAACGUUAUGCAGUAUGUACGAGGCAACAAGGGAGACUUUGAUCUGUGGGAAAAGAUGGGCGCACGGGGAUGGAGUUAUAAAGACGUUUUGCUGUACUUUAAAAAAUUUGAAGACAACCAGAAUGAGGAAUAUGUGAAG